rnacentral:tRNA from 1 species
GCCUUCGUGGUGUGAUGGUUAGCACACUCGGCGCGUAAUCGAGAGAUCCGUGGUUCGAAUCGCGGCGAGGGCA